CCUACGGGAGGCAGCAGUGAGGAAUAUUGGUCAAUGGCCGAGAGGCUGAACCAGCCAAGUCGCGUGAGGGAAGACGGCCCUACGGGUUGUAAACCUCUUUUGUCGGGGAGCAAAGCGAGUCACGUGUGACUCAUUGCGUGUACCCGAAGAAAAAGCAUCGGCUAACUCCGUGCCAGCAGCCGCGGUAAUACGGAGGAUGGGAGCGUUAUCCGGAUUUAUUGGGUUUAAAGGGUGCGCAGGCGGAGGUGCAAGUCAGCGGGAAAAUUGCGGGGCUCAACCCCGUACUGCCGUUGAAACUGCAUCCCUUGAGUGCGCGAGAAGUAUGCGGAAUGCGUGGUGUAGCGGUGAAAUGCAUAGAUAUCACGCAGAACUCCGAUUGCGAAGGCAGCAUACCGGCGCGCAACUGACGCUCAUGCACGAAAGCGUGGGUAUCGAACAGGAUUAGAUACCCCUGUAGUC
rnacentral:rRNA from 1 species